rnacentral:lncRNA from 1 species
UUUUUUUUUUUUUUUUUGAGACAGAGUGAUUUCACUCUUGUUGCCUAGGCUGGAGUGUAAUGGUGCAAUCCCAGCUCACUGCAACCUCCACUUCCUGGGUUCAAGUGAUUCUCCUGCCUCAGCCUCCCAAGUAGCCGGGAUUACAGGCCUGAGCCACCAUGGCCGGCUAAUUUUGUAUUUUUAGUAGAGACGGGGUUUCUCCAUGUUGGUCAUGCUGCUCUUGAACUCCCAAUCUCAGGUGAUCUGCCCGCCUCAGCUUCCCAAAUUGAUGAUUUGUUCAGAAUUGGUUCUUUCCAGUGGGUUCCUGGUCUCCCUGACUUCAAGAAUGAAGCCACGGACCCUCGCGGCGAGUGUUACAGUUCUCAAAGAUGGUGUGUCUGGAAUGUGUUCCUUCCGAUGUUCAGAUGUGUCUGGAGCUUCUUCCUUCUGGUGAGUUCGUGACUUCAGGAGUGAAGCAGCAGACCUUCGCAGUGAGUGUUACAGCUCUUAAAGGUAGUGUGGACCCAAAGAAUGAACAGCAGCAAGAUUUAUUGUAAAGACCAAAAGAAUAAACCUUCAACGGUAUAGAAGGGGAUCCCACUGGCUUGCAGCUGCUGGCUCAGGUGGCCGACUUUUAUUCCCUUAUUUGGCCCCACCCAUGUUCUGCCGAAUGGUCCAUUUUACAGAGUGCUGAUUGGUCCAUUUUACACAGUGCUGAUUGGUCCGUUUUUACAGAGUGCUGAUUGGUCCAUUUUACACAGUGCUGAUUGGUCCGUUUUUACAGAGUGCUGAUUGGUGCGUUUAUAAUCCUCUAGCUAGACAGAGAAGUUCUCCAAGUCCCUACCCCACCCAGAAGCCCAGCUGGCUUCACCUGUCACUGGGACUACAGGCGUAAGCAACUGUGCUUGGCCAUGAGUAAGUUUCUUAAUCUUUCUGACUCUCAGUUUCCACAUUGAUAGGCAUAAGAAUACUUGUUUCAAAGUGUCAUAGUAAGGAUUAAAUACUGUCUGUGAAAAUGUCUCAUGUCUGUAAUCCCAGCACUUUGGGAGGCCAAGUCUAGAGGAUCCUUUGAGGCCAGGAGUUAGAGAGCAGCCUGGGUAACAUAGCAUGAUCCUGUCUCUACCAAGAAAAAAAAAAUUAGCUGGACGUGGUGAUCCACCUGUAGUCCCAGCUGCAUGGGAGGCUGAGGCAGGAGGAUAACUCGAGCCUAGGAGUUGUAGGAUGCAAUGAGCUAUGAUUGCACCACAGCACUCUGGCCUGGGUGACAGAGGGAGACCCUGUCUCAGAAAACAAAAAUCAAACAAACAAGAAACAGAAAAAAGAAAAUGUCUUGGCAUAUGCCAGGAACUUUUAUAUAUUACUACCUUCUCUUAACUCCUUAAUAGAAGGUAAGAAGGAAGAACAUUCUUUCCUCUGUAUUUCAGAAGUAGGUACACUCUUUGGGGGAAUUUAUACAAGUCCAAUUUGAACUCUUUUACAGGUGAGGUUGGGAAGGAUGGGUCAGGGUAGGUGGGGAUGGGUGAGGGGUGAGAUAUCCUUACCUUUUAUCUCCCUAGAACAUCAUGAAUAUUUUAUAACUACUAAUGAUGAAAAUAUUGUUUGUACUCUCUAUUUUUCUCUGUGAAAGAGUGUUUGGAAAGUCAUUUCUUGUUGUUAUGUUUGGUUUCUAGUGCUCCUUGGGAAGCAUCGAUCUUGGAUUUGGCUGCUGUGUGGGAGACCAGUGUUCCUCUUAGCUGAUGGUGGAGACUCACGUCAGUGCAGGCUGCAGCGAUGACUCUCAAACUGUGAACAAUGCUCCCCAGUGUGUGCUUGGGAGGGCCGGCAUAUGGAGAGCUCGCGGAGAGCCAAAUGCGGGCUCUCUGCACUUCCUUCAGUUUUGUUUAAAUACAGGAUCCGGUUUGCCUUUGUCACCCCCUGCAGCACCACCAGGCCUCAUUCACUGUGAAGCCUUGCCAGAUCUCUGUAAUAAAUUACCUGGGA